rnacentral:rRNA from 1 species
GAUGAACGCUGGCGGCGUGCCUAAUACAUGCAAGUCAAGCGAACAGACGAGGAGCUCGCUCCUCUGACGUUAGCGGCGGACGGGUGAGUAACACGUGGAUAACCUACCUAUAAGACUGGGAUAACUUCGGGAAACCGGAGCUAAUACCGGAUAAUAUAUUGAACCGCAUGGUUCAAUAGUGAAAGACGGUUUUGCUGUCACUUAUAGAUGGAUCCGCGCCGCAUUAGCUAGUUGGUAAGGUAACGGCUUACCAAGGCGACGAUGCGUAGCCGACCUGAGAGGGUGAUCGGCCACACUGGAACUGAGACACGGUCCAGACUCCUACGGGAGGCAGCAGUAGGGAAUCUUCCGCAAUGGGCGAAAGCCUGACGGAGCAACGCCGCGUGAGUGAUGAAGGUCUUCGGAUCGUAAAACUCUGUUAUUAGGGAAGAACAAAUGUGUAAGUAACUAUGCACGUCUUGACGGUACCUAAUCAGAAAGCCACGGCUAACUACGUG